GAACAACUCGCCCUGAACAGUCGGCUUCCGUCGAGCAGUGGCGUAAGUCAAGUGGUUGAAGGCUACACAAGUAUCGAUUCUACAGUUAUACAGUUUACCCUCGAUCACCAAGAUGGUAGCUACGAGGGACUUUUGGCCGAUUGUGCUGGUUGCAUUUGUGGCGUACGGCUCUGGGGUACCAUUCAAUAUUGAUGGGUUGUCACGCAAAUAUACAGGCUUCGUUGCCGAUCACUCCAUCAACAAUUUUUAUAAUACCACCCAACAACCAACAUCGGACAUAAGCCUGAAAUCAAAGUUUGGCAAAGUUCUCAUGGAUAUUGCAGUUCCUUUUUUCGAACGGCUGAACAAAAACUUCGCUAGAAUUAAUGAAAUCAAUAAGCGCACUUCCUUUCCAGCCAAAAUCCUAAAGGGAAACAAGAAGCAACAACCAAUCAUGGUUGAAAAUGUCACACAAAAUGUGUCCAUAUUGCAAGAGAUAAGCCCGAUCAGCGAAGAGCCGAACAUGGUCGAAACGAUUCAACGUCUGUCUGAGUCAAACAACGUCACAGUCACACAACGUACAAUCCAAGGCCCGUUGAACUAUAGCGAGGACAAUCAAGAGACAGAUUCAACCAAAGAAACAGUCCACAACCCGGGGAACAACAACGUAGACGAUCAAGGAAACAAGCAAGCAACCGGCCUUUCUCAGCGGUUCAUAAUUGAUUGGAUUGUAAUAACGCCAUUAAUUAUAACUAUGAUUAUAAUUUUUGUUUUUGUGAUUUAUUUACCUUAGCAAUAAAGCAUUUCAUUUCAUUUCGAAUCUAUAACGGUUAACUUAGGAGUGCUGCAUGCACGUGUGUCCAUCGUCCAAUCCAUAGACCAAUUCCGAGAAGCGGAAGAAAAUCGAUCAAGGGACGAAGACGAUCAAGGGAACAAGCAAGCAACCGGCCUUUCUCAGUGGAUCGUAGUUGUGUGGAAUGUAGUAUCGCUAUUAAUCAUAUUUAUAAUUAUAAAAAUAAUCUUUAAAAGUGUCCACUACUACAAGACCUACAGACUACAGACAGAAUCGAUUCCCAUACGCACCGUUACCCAAUAACAAGGAGUGACUAUCCGUGUGGUAGUGCUAGACUGUCUCGGAAGUCUGUUAUAGAUCGACAUGACUUAAAAUUCCUACGGAUAGCAAAGAACGACAUUGCGAGGAUCCUACACUUCCGACACUAUUAACAGGAAACAACAGGAGUGACAAAGAACCCAUACACAAGCAUAGUUUGAAGAGAAAGUAAACACUUGCAUCGAUCAUUCCUGAGUAAUAUUCUAUGAUAAAAAUUAUCUUGAUAAUUAUCGAGAUUUGCCAUUUCCAUACUCAAGUACAUUGGAAACAAAUAUCUUGCAUCAGCAUUUCGACAUUCACACAGCAACAGCAAUACAGUGAGAGAAAAAAAUAAAAAGCAAGAGCGAGAAAAAGAGAAAGGGAGAGAGAGAAAGAGAGAGAGAGAUAAUUAAAGAUUGAUAGAAAAAAAACUUUAGAGAGAGCAUUAUUUGAAGUCUGGAUACAACUUACCUUGUAUCGAAAAAACUUAUUUUCUUCAGGAAUCGAAGCCACCAGAAGCUAGAAGUGAUAAUGGAAGAAGGUCUACGUAAAAAUAACCAUAUUUGGUGUUUGGGAUUGUUGUUUGUGUGGAAUUCCUCAUGCAUUUCCAAAAAACUUUUGGACGCAUACAUUAGCGUAUUGUUUGUAUAUUUGUGUGUUCAUUUUUUUUUUUAUUUUAUGUAUUGUUUUUCAAUUUUAUAAAUCUCAAUAUUUUGGCUUAUCUCGCAAUUUACUUUUA